UGAAAUUGUCCAAAUGCUUCCACAUUCAUAUACUUAUAUACACGCAAUGAUGGAUGAAUAUCUUAAUAGAGCAACACACUGAAAGGGCAAAUGUAUGUGCAGUUAUCCUUUGUUCUUAAAAAGAUAUAUUUCCUAGGAAGACUGUUAAAUUGUAGGUGGUCACUUUUUACCUGAAGUUGCAAUGACAAUAAAUAUCAUUAUAAAAGUUUUGGACUUUUUUAUAUUAAGGGUAUAAGGCAUCGGCUGGGCACGGUGGCUCACGUCUGUAAUCCCAGCACUUUGGGAGGCCAAGGCAGGUGGAUCACCUGAGGUCGGGAGUUAGAGACCAGCCUGACCAACAUGGUGAAAACCCGUCUCUACUAAAAAUACAAAAAGAGAAUUAGCCAGAUGUGGUGGUACAUGACUGUAAUCCCAGCUACUUGGGAGGCUGAGGCAGGAGAAUCUCUUGAACUCGAGAGGCGGAGGUUGCAGUGAGCCAAGAUCGCACCAUUGUACUCCAGCUGGGCAACAAGAGCAAAACUCCGUCUAAUAAAAAAAAAAAAAAAAAAAAAAAACAAACUAUAAGGCAGAGUGGCUAACUUCCUAAUCUCAGAGAAAGAAGAAUCUAUCCUCCCCAACUCCUGAUGGUCAACAGUAACAAGUAGAGAUCACAGGCAGUCUCCCCUGUUGGCACUCCAGGAAUGGCUCUAGUCAACAGGUGGUUGCUAUGGCUUGUUUGAGAGGUAAUUAUGCAACUUUAUUUUACCCUCAGGUAAGAGAACGCAGGCAUUGUAUUACAUUCCUGACUUGAGCUACUACUGAAUCUUUGAUGCAACAGCCAAUACAGUUCACAAAGUAGCAUUAAAAACUUAAACCAUUAAAUUAAACCCAGUAAAGAAAAGAAGCAACAUAAAUGACCACCAACAGAGGGAUGACAAC
rnacentral:lncRNA from 1 species